GAUGAAGAACGCAGCGAAAUGCGAUAAGUAAUGUGAAUUGCAGAAUUCAGUGAAUCAUCGAAUCUUUGAACGCACAUUGCGCCCGUCAGUAUUCUGGCGGGCAUGCCUGUUCGAGCGUCAUUUCAACCAUCAAGCCCUAGGCUUGCGUUGGAGCCCUGCGGCUGCCGCAGGCUCCCAAAUCCAGUGGCGGGCUCGUCGUCGUACCGAGUGCAGUAAACAUCCUCGCUCAGGGAACGUGACGGGUUCUUGCCGUGAAACCCCCCACAUAUCAAGGUUGACCUCGGAUCAGGUAGGAAUACCCGCUGAACUUAAGCAUAUCAAUAAGCGGAGGA
rnacentral:misc_RNA from 1 species